AAAAAAAAUAUAUCGUCUAUGUAUUGGCCAUAGGUCACCAAGUUUUGCGACAUGCUUGGUGACGUAUGGCCGAUACAUAGACAAUAUCUUUUUUUA